ensembl:lncRNA
UAAAACCAGCCAACUUCUUUAUUCUUACUAAUGCUGUCAAGAGAGUUUCAGGUUUUGAUACUGAAACCAGCACAUUCAAAGCCCCAAGUUUGGCCCUGAAGCUCGGACAUUCUCUGAGAAAAAUAAGUGAUAUUAUCAUGUGUCGUGCUCUCAUGGAAGAGGAUCAAGAGGCGAUCGAUUCAAUCAGGAGGUUUCACACACUUCAUGAAACAAAGUGGUCUGAAUUAGUUUCCCAUUCAGCCUUAUCAAACCUGAGUGAGGCAAAAUACAACAAGGUCGACAGCCUUCCACUGACCAGAGAUGUUCAGAAGCUGCAGUUAUAUCUUGGUCAGCAAGUGGAAUCGGCUAGGGAGAAACUAGGUGAUAACCCAACAGCAGGAACUUAUGCAGCACUAGCAAAGGUGAUCCUUUGUCAAGUGAUUUUGUUCAAUAGGAGGCGGGAAGGUGAAGUAGCACGUAUGACUGUCAAAAAUUUUGAAGAUCGUGACAUGUCCAAACUAAACGAUGACAUCAGCUCUGGGCUUACAGAAGUUGAGAAAAGGCUUUGCCAACAGUUUGCCAGAGUGGAACUGAAGGGGAAAAAAAGGACGAAAGGUGGCUGUGAUCCUGACUUCUGAUAUGACCGAUAACCUGUCACUCCUCGUUAGUAAGAGGAAAGAGUGCGGGGUAUCUGAAAACAAUAUGUACCUUUUCGCCAUUCCUUGUAGUGAUGGUCACUACAGAGGGCAGUUUGGUCAGUUUGCAGAUGCUUGCGGAGCUGAACAUCCUCAGAACCUCAGAUCAACUAACCUUCGCAAACAGAUUGCCACGAUAAGCCAAGUCAUGAACUUGAAAGAUAAUGAACUAGACCAGCUGGCCGAUUUCCUCGGCCAUGACAUUAGGGUCCAUAGAGAAUACUAUCGACUGCCCCAAUCAACAAUUCAGCUGGCUAAGAUCUCCAAGUUGCUCAUGGCCAUGGAGAAGGGAAGUGUGAAGGAUAUUCAAGGAAAAACUCUGGAUGAAAUUGGUGAUGACAUAGAUGGGAUGGCUACUGGAUCACAGCAACUCCCUGAUGCUUCCACAUUGCGAGGUACUGAAAUUAUUGUAUUCUGUGUUAUAGACUUUGCAGUUGUAUUGAUAAAAUAUUUAAAAUUUACAUUUUUAUAUAUUUAGAUAAUGUUAUUGCAGUUCUGUUUGUACUUUGCUGUGUAGUUAAUACCAUUUACAGUGAGGAAAGUAAGUAUUUGCUAUUUUGCAAGUUCUCCCACUUAGAAAUCAUGGAGGGAUCUGAAAUUUUCAGCGUUGGUACAUGUCCACUGUGAGAGACAGAAUCUAAAAGAAAAUUCCGGAAAUCACAAUGUAUGAUUUUAUUAAAAUAUUUUUGUAUAUUACUGCUUAAAAUAAGUAUUUGAACACUUGCUUAUCAUGCAGAUUUCUGACCCUCAAAGACCUGUUAUUCUGCUUUUAAACAGUCCAACUACACUCUGCUCAUGAUUCUAAUUUAGCAGCACCUGUUUGAUGCCGUUAGCUUUCAUAAAGACACAUGUGCACCCCACAAUCUGUCAAAAGUGUUGCAGCAACAUGAGUAAAACCAAAGAGCUGUCCAACGACACAAGAGACAAAACUUUAGACCUUCACAAAGCUGGAAAGGGCUCCAGAGCCACUGCCAAGCAGCUCGGUGCGCGACAGUGCGCGUGCACGCAUGUGCGUGUGCGCGAUGGAGCGCGUGCAGGUGACUGUGCGUACCCUCUGCAAGACUCCUGCAGGCGCCCCUGAAUGGAAGAGGCUAAUGUCUUCCUCGGACUGGAGCCCCACGUAAGAUCUCAGCUCGUGGGGUGUCAGUGAUGCUAAGAAAGGUGAAGAAUCAGCCCAGAACUACACGGGACGAGCUGGUCAAUGACCUGAAGAGAGCUGGGACCACCGUUGGCAAGGCUACUAUCAGUAAUACACUGAGACGUCAUGGUUUAAAAUCAUUCAUCACACUGAAGGUUCCCCUUCUUAAGCCAACCCAUGUCCAGGCCCAUCUGAAGUUUG